AUUGAACGCUGGCGGCAGGCUUAACACAUGCAAGUCGAACGAGUGGCGGAAGGGUGAGUAAUGCGUGGGAAUCUAGCUUAUGGAGGGGGAUAACUAAGGGAAACUGUAGCUAAUACCGCGUACCAUAGGCUGAGCCCAUGGGGGGUUAGGUAGUUGGUGAGGUAAAGGCUCACCUAGGCGACGUUCUCUAGCUGGUCUGAGAGGAUGCUCAGCCACACUGGGACUGAGACACGGCCCAGACUCCUACUGGAGGCAGCAGUGGGGAAUAUUGCACAAUGGGCGCAAGCCUGCUGCAUCCAUGCCGCGUGUAUGAAGAAGGCCUUAGGGUUGUAAAGUACUUUCAGCGGGGAGGCGUUACCCGCAGAAGAAGCACCGGCUAACUCCGUGCCAGCCGCCGCGGUAAUAC
rnacentral:rRNA from 1 species